UAUAAUACGAGUGGCGACGUAAAAAAAGAUCUUAAAAUCGAUCAAACGCAAAGUUAUUUUCAGCUGUUACAACGUCCAUUUGGGAAUGUAUAUUAUUGGCCGGAUAUUUGGAAUUGUUAUUACGCGCUAUAUAAAAACUCGAAGAGUUUAAAGAACAGAAUUGGAAGCUUCGAAUACGGAAACAAUGAAAAACCGUCGUUUGCUAUGGCAAAAACUCGUUACCGUUUGAUUGACAUCCCGGCAACCUUGUCAAGUUAUAUAAGGAACACACAAGGCGCGCGCGAGCUCUUUUGUGCCUGAACUUCCGGAGAGUGAACAUCGAAGAGGAACUUAAACAUAAGG
rnacentral:misc_RNA from 1 species